rnacentral:rRNA from 1 species
GAUGAACGCUGGCGGCGUGCCUAAUACAUGCAAGUCGAGCGAACAGACGAGGAGCUUGCUCCUCUGACGUUAGCGGCGGACGGGUGAGUAACACGUGGAUAACCUACCUAUAAGACUGGGAUAACUUCGGGAAACCGGAGCUAAUACCGGAUAAUAUAUUGAACCGCAUGGUUCAAUAGUGAAAGACGGUUUUGCUGUCACUUAUAGCUGGAUCCGCGCCGCAUUAGCUAGUUGGUAAGGUAACGGCUUACCAAGGCAACGAUGCGUAGCCGACCUGAGAGGGUGAUCGGCCACACUGGAACUGAGACACGGUCCAGACUCCUACGGGAGGCAGCAGUAGGGAAUAUUCCGCAAUGGGCGAAAGCCUGACGGAGCAACGCCGCGUGAGUGAUGAAGGUCUUCGGAUCGUAAAACUCUGUUAUUAGGGAAGAACAAAUGUGUAAGUAACUAUGCACGUCUUGACGGUACCUAAUCAGAAAGCCACGGCUAACUACGUG